AAAGGGGAAGAAGUGCAAUCUCCCAGGGGAUUUUUAACAUACCGUGGACAAAUAAAAGCGUACCGAGGUACGGCCAGGAGGUGUUGGAGCCCAGCAGGUUAAGCAACAACAUUUGUAGAGAGAUGCCAUCAUUAUUGGUCCCGUGGCAGGCAUCAUCUCUCCUGAUGAGCAGAACUCGUUACUAUAAGCUGUUGCCAUAAGCAUUUCAGCACAGGAAAUAUUUGUGUUUCAUUCACCAAGAAGAGCAGAACAACACAAAAUUGGAAGUUACCCUUGUGGUGGGGAGAAGCAGUGACCCUGCAAAGCCACGAGAACAAUUAAAAUUGGAUUUGUAACAAGACAGCUCUGCCAAAGACAACCAUUGACAAAAACUGCUAAAAUCACAGUUCUUCAAGACUCCUCUUAGAUGGCUAUUGAGUUAAUAC